GAGCUUUCCUGCUGUUUGCAGUCAGCUUCCAGGAAGCGAGCAUGGUUGCAGUUGUGUGAGAUUUAACCCGACUCCUAAAGUUCUUAUUCAGCACUUGCUGUCUUUGGAGAAGAGCUUGCAGUGCUCCUGAGUACGUUCCUUCAGGGCUAGUCCUCUCCAUGCUCCAGGAAAUCCAUUGGUGUCCCCAUCCAUGAACGACCCUAGAAGCUGUUCGUCCCUUCAGAGUUGUGUUGCCUCCUUCUGUGCCUGGUUUGUUGCCACACUACUCCUCCAUGGAGCCUAGGAACCUUUAUGUUCCAGCUGACUUUCUCUAACAGAGCAACCGAUGUGCUUUUUCACCAGAACUAACUGAAGCACGAACUCAUUGGGACUGAAGGAAAACUGUCUCAGAGACAAAAGGACACAUGGGUGGAAGUGUAGCCACGCUGCAUCCCAUGAGCAGUCACUUCAUUUUGGGGAGGACAAUUAUUGCUGAAUGGCGAGAGACCUCAGCCUAAAUCUGCAGAAAAAUGUAUGCGUAACCCAUAGUGCUUCUGCUUUUGUCUGUCUGAUGUUGCUGCAAGUAUGUAAGCUGCUUUUAUUUUGAAGUCAAGAACUUUAUGUAGAAAAACAACCUGGCUUAUACACACCUGGUGGUGCUUGGCCAAGUGGGGAUGCAACGUCCUCCUGAUAAGAGCUAUGGCAUGGAUUUAACUGCAGACCAAAGUUCAUGGAAGAGACCAUGUGCUCUGAUUUCUCCAUCCUUCUGGAGAACUGGUAGGACUUAGAUU